GGAGAUAUAGCUCAAUUGGUAGGGUGCUUGCAUUGCAUGCACAAGGUCCUGGGUUCAAUUCCCAGCACCACCA
rfam:Ictidomys tridecemlineatus contig032547, whole genome shotgun sequence.